AUAUCAAUAAGCGGAGGAAAAGAAACUAACAAGGAUUCCCCUAGUAACGGCGAGUGAAGCGGGAACAGCUCAAAUUUUAAAUCUGGCUGCUUUGCAGUCCGAGUUGUAGUUUGAAGGAGUCUGUCGCUCUUCGGGACGAUGGCACAAGUCUUUUGGAACGUUGCAUCAUAGAGGGUGAGAAUCCCGUCUUUGGCCAUCGUACCAGGAGCAUACGGCAGGCAUCCGAAGAGUCGAGUUGUUUGGGAUUGCAGCUCCAAAUGGGUGGUAAACUCCAUCUAAGGCUAAAUAUCUGCGAGAGACCGAUAGCGCACAAGUA
rnacentral:rRNA from 1 species